rfam:Triticum aestivum genome assembly, contig: Triticum_aestivum_CS42_TGACv1_scaffold_032182_1BL
UGUAUACUCCCUCCGUCCCAAAAUUCUUGUCUUAGAUUUGUCUAAAUACGGAUAUAUCUAGUUACAUUUUAGUGUUAGAUACAUCCGUAUCUAGACAAAUCUAAGAUAAGAAUUUUGGGACGGAGGGAGUAUAUA